GAUGAACGCUAGCGGCAGGCUUAACACAUGCAAGUCGAGGGGUAGGAGAAGCUUGCUUUUCUGAGACCGGCGCACGGGUGCGUAACGCGUAUGCAAUCUACCUUUCACAAAGGGAUAGCCCAGAGAAAUUUGGAUUAAUACCUUAUAGUAAUACGACUUGGCAUCAAGAUGUAUUUAAAGAUUUAUCGGUGAAAGAUGAGCAUGCGUCCCAUUAGCUAGUUGGUAUGGUAACGGCAUACCAAGGCUACGAUGGGUAGGGGUCCUGAGAGGGAGAUCCCCCACACUGGUACUGAGACACGGACCAGACUCCUACGGGAGGCAGCAGUGAGGAAUAUUGGACAAUGGGCGCAAGCCUGAUCCAGCCAUGCCGCGUGCAGGAUGACGGUCCUAUGGAUUGUAAACUGCUUUUAUACAGGAAGAAACACCUCUACGUGUAGAGACUUGACGGUACUGUAAGAAUAAGGAUCGGCUAACUCCGUGCCAGCAGCCGCGGUAAUACGGAGGAUCCAAGCGUUAUCCGGAAUCAUUGGGUUUAAAGGGUCCGUAGGCGGUCAGAUAAGUCAGUGGUGAAAGCCCAUCGCUCAACGGUGGAACGGCCAUUGAUACUGUCUGACUUGAAUUAUUAGGAAGUAACUAGAAUAUGUAGUGUAGCGGUGAAAUGCUUAGAGAUUACAUGGAAUACCAAUUGCGAAGGCAGGUUACUACUAAUUGAUUGACGCUGAUGGACGAAAGCGUGGGUAGCGAACAGGAUUAGAUACCCUGGUAGUCCACGCCGUAAACGAUGGAUACUAGCUGUUGGGAGCAAUCUCAGUGGCUAAGCGAAAGUGAUAAGUAUCCCACCUGGGGAGUACGAACGCAAGUUUGAAACUCAAAGGAAUUGACGGGGGCCCGCACAAGCGGUGGAGCAUGUGGUUUAAUUCGAUGAUACGCGAGGAACCUUACCAAGGCUUAAAUGUAGAUUGACCGGUUGGAAACAG
rnacentral:rRNA from 1 species